AUUAAGGUGGCAGAUCAGUGCAUAGAAUUUAAGAUUCUAUUAGGGAGUAUAUACUCUUCUUAAUA
rnacentral:tRNA from 1 species